rnacentral:sRNA from 1 species
AUGUGCCGCGCGCGUACGUUCCGGUUCCAGAGUACCGUCCGUCCCACCUGACGCCUGCUCGCGACGUGUCGUUAACC